rnacentral:rRNA from 1 species
AAUUGCCAGCAUUCAGUUGGGCACUUUAAAGAGACUGCCGGUGUUAAACCGGAGGAAGGUGGGAUGACGUCAAGUCCUCAUGGCCUUUAUGCUUAGGGCUACACACGUGCUACAAUGGGUGGUACAAAGAGAAGCCAACUCGCGAGAGCGCGCCAAUCUCAAAAAGCCAUCCUCAGUUCGGAUUGGAGUCUGCAACUCGACUCCAUGAAGUUGGAAUCGCUAGUAAUCGCGGAUCAGCAUGCCGCGGUGAAUACGUUCCCGGGCCUU